AUGGCAUGCGUUAACAUGUACAACCCGGACGGCGGCGCGGUGGCGUUCGGCGGCGGGCAGCCGGGCCCGCGCAUCUCCUUCUCCAGCGACUUCUCCAUGGAGCCGCCGCCGCCGGUGCAGAACCGCGCCAUGGGCCUGCGGUGCCAGGAGGAGGACCAGAACUUCGAGUUCUCCGUGGGCAGCCACCCCAUGAUGGCCGCCGACCAGCUCUUCUCCAAGGGCAGGAUCCUCCCCUUCAAGGUCGAGGGGGGAUGCCCGGCCUCCACGCUCCGCGACGAGCUCCGUGCUGGCCCCGCCGACGACGACAGGGCAUCCACGCCCAAGGGGUCCAGCCGGUGGAGGGAGAUGCUCGGCCUCCGGAAGUCGCUCUGCGUCGGCGGCGGCGUCGCCAGUAAUGCCGCGGCCGCCAAGAAGAGCGACAAGGUCGUCGCCGUCGACGCCGACGCCAAGAUAGCCACCGACAUGGCCGCGCCCAAGCAGAUGGUUUGA
rnacentral:rRNA from 1 species